rnacentral:rRNA from 1 species
UACGAAGGGGGCUAGCGUUGUUCGGAAUUACUGGGCGUAAAGCGUGCGCAGGCGGCUUCUCAAGUCAGGGGUGAAAGCCCACGGCUUAACCGUGGAAGUGCAUGGGAAACUGCUGAGCUUGAGUACUUAAGAGGAUCGCGGAAUUCCCGGUGUAGAGGUGAAAUUCGUAGAUAUCGGGAGGAACACCAGUGGCGAAGGCGGCGAUCUGGGAAGAUACUGACGCUGAGGUGCGAAAGCGUGGGGAGCAAACAGG